AGAUAGACUGUGAUACCACCAGCAGGUCACUUAAGGAAAAGCAGACACUUAAGGACAGAAGACACCAGCAGAUACUUAAGAAAAAUGAAUCAGGAGGAAAAUGCCUACAAAACGUUGCUUUCUCUUUGUGGAGCAAAAAACAAAGCACACUGAAAUUAAAGGCAAUCUGAAGGCCUCACCAAUUUUAAAAAUCCCACGCUUAAUAAACAAAGAUAGACAAAGGAACAUAUAUGCCUCCUCAUGAGCCACACUGUUUCUCUCUGGUCACUACCACAGUCUGUGCUGAGUCAAACCUACUAGUGCAGUCAAUUGAGCAAAAACCAAGUUGUUCAUUACAGGCAAUCAUCAUUCCAGCUUUCCCAAUCUACUCUGGAGAAUGCAGAAGCAUCUGUUAUCACAGCAUGAACCUCAUUCUGCAAAUAAAUUCUUCAAAUAAACGAGUACAGGAAAUACAUGAAUUUUCUCUUCUCUGAGACUGCUGUUUUUCGG
ensembl:lncRNA